rnacentral:rRNA from 1 species
UACAGAGGUUGCAAGCGUUGUUCGGAAUUACUGGGCGUAAAGGGAGCGCAGGCGGCCAGGUCAGUCUGGAGUGCAAGCCCGGGGCUCAACCCCGGAAUUGCUUUGGAUACUACUUGGCUUGAGUACGUCAGAGGUGAGCGGAAUUCCAGGUGUAGCGGUGAAAUGCGUAGAUAUCUGGAGGAACAUCGGUGGCGAAAGCGGCUCACUGGGACGACACUGACGCUGAGGCUCGAAAGCGUGGGGAGCGAACGGG